rnacentral:SRP_RNA from 1 species
ACCGGGCCUGGUGGCGUGUGCCUGUAGUCCCAGCUAUUCGGGAGGCUGAGGCUGGAGGAUCUCUUGAGUCCAGGAGUUCUGGGCUGUAGUGUGCUAUGCUGAUUGGGUGUCCACACUAAGUUCGGCAUCAAUAUGGUGCCCUCCUGGGAGCGGGGGACCACCAGGUUGCCAAAGGAGGGGUGAACCAGCCCAAGUCAGAAACGGAGCAGGUCAAAACUCCCGUGCUGAUCAGUAGUGGGAUUGCGCCUGUGAAUAGCCACUGCACUCCAGCCUGGGCAACAUAGCGAGACCCCGUCUCU